AUACAUCCAACUUCAGUACCAUUGGCUUGUCUACCUGCAAGCUUUAUGAGCUUCCUUUAAUUCUCAAUUAUAAAGGCACGAAGCAAGAAGAGAAAGAUCUAAUCACAUUCAUACCUUCACCCAUAAUCACUGUCUUAAAGUAUCCUGCAUUGAGGUCCCUAACUCAUCAGUCUAUUUUCCAAUCUGCAGCAACAAAAAGAGAGAGCACUUUCCGCAUAUACAAGGCUGUCUCCAGUAUACCUCACAAGUACUGUCCAUGUCACAGAGCUUCCCCUGUCACUGAAAGGGGUAAACAUCAAAGCCUUGGCACUAUGGCGGUCUCUUCAAGGUCUGGAGACACAAGGAAACAUCCUCCACCUAGCUCUGGGCUGAAGCCUCAGAAGCAAGAAGAGAGAGCCCUUGAGUCUAUGUAUGGGAAGAAACGAGACAGAAGACAACAUACAAAGAGAUUCCCAAUUCAAAAGUCAGACACAGGGCUGAUGACAGGGACUGCAGCCCAGCUACACCGUGCCAAGCUCCAGCUUCAUGCCUUCAAAACCAAGACCACAUGGGUGACAACAGUGCCACAUUCAGCUGCCAGCACAAGGUACAUCGGUCAUCUCUGGAAGACAGCUCCCGUGUGCCAACUGAGGAAAUACCUCAGUGAUACUGCUCUCUUCUUUUUUUUUUUUUUUUCCGGAGCUGGGGACCGAAUCCAGGGCCUUGCGUUUACUAGGCAAGCGCUCUACUGCUGAGCUAAAUCCCCAACCCUCCCUGGUCGCUUCUUAAUCACAGCUGAUUCUUCAACCCCAGCUGACCAACAUCCACUGUCCCAGGAACUCCACUGUCUGGCUAUUCACAGCUGAGUCCUCAGCCCCAGCUGAUCAGACAUUACAGAUUCUUCACACAGAUGGUCCAGAGGAGUCUUUGCUUCCUUCUGAACCUGCCAAACCCAGGCCUCCAUCUUCUGCACUGCUCUCAACAUUCUUAUCCUCCAAGCUCCCACAGAACAGCUCACUGAGCUCUCAACGCUCAAUGGCUCUUUUAGCCAAAUUUCCAAAGUCUAUCCACAGUCCUCCCCAAAACACAGUCAGAUCUAUCACAGCAGCCCCCCGCCAUGCUGGUAUCAACUUGCCUUAGGGUUUCUAUCACUGCAAUGAAACACCAUAAUCCAAGGAAA
rnacentral:sRNA from 1 species